GAUCGAUUGGCCCAGUGGUUAAGGCACCUGCUUUACAAUAAAAUCGCAGGGGAUCGCAGUCGAACCCUGCAUCGAUCA